rnacentral:misc_RNA from 1 species
AACGCACAUUGCGCCCGCCAGCAUUCUGGCGGGCAUGCCUGUCCGAGCGUCAUUUCAACCCCUCAGGCCCCCGUGCCUGGUGUUGGGGACUGCCGCGUGGCCCCGCCCGCGGCACCCCGAAAGUCAUCGGCGGACCCCCCGAGGCUCCGAGCGCAGUAGAACUACCUCUCGCUCCUGGACGCCGCGUCGGGCUCCUGCCGCGAAACCGCAACCCCCUCGCGGGACGCGCACACCGAAAUGUUGACCUCGGAUCAGGUAGGAAUACCCGCUGAACUUAA